UGGAAGUAAAAGUCGUAACAAGGUCUCCGUUGGUGAACCAGCGGAGGGAUCAUUACAGAGUUGCAAAACUCCAAACCAUUGUGAACCUACCUCUGCCGUUGCUUCGGCGGGCGGCCCGGGCCCUGCCCGGCGCCCCUCGGCCCCUCUCGGGGCGCCCGCCGGAGGCAAACCAAACUCUUGAAUUGUAUGGCCUCUCUGAGUCUUCUGUACUGAAUAAGUCAAAACUUUCAACAACGGAUCUCUUGGUUCUGGCAUCGAUGAAGAACGCAGCGAAAUGCGAUAAGUAAUGUGAAUUGCAGAAUUCAGUGAAUCAUCGAAUCUUUGAACGCACAUUGCGCCCGCCAGUAUUCUGGCGGGCAUGCCUGUCCGAGCGUCAUUUCAACCAUCAAGCCCCGGGCUUGUGUUGGGGACCUGCGGCUGCCGCAGGCCCUGAAAACCAGUGGCGGGCUCGCUAGUCACUCCGAGCGUAGUAGUUUACACCUCGCUCAGGGCGUGCUGCGGGUUCCGGCCGUUAAAAAGCCUUAUUUUACCCAAGGUUGACCUCGGAUCAGGUAGGAAGACCCGCUGAACUUAAGCAUAUCAAUAAGCGGAGG
rnacentral:rRNA from 1 species